GAUGAAGAACGUAGCGAAGUGCGAUACGUAAUGUGAAUUGCAGAAUUCAGUGAAUCAUCGAAUCUUUGAACGCACAUUGCGCCCGCCAGCACUCUGGCGGGCAUGCCUGUUCGAGCGUCAUUUCAACCAUCAAGCCCCAGGCUUGCGUUGGAGCCCUGCGGCUGCCGCAGCCUCCUAAAAGCAGUGGCGGGCUCGCUAUCACACCGAGUGCAGUAGAUUACUCUUCGCUCAGGGCGUGCAGCGGGUUCCGGCCGUGAAACCCCCUACUUUUAAAGGUUGACCUCGGAUCAGGUAGGAAUACCCGCUGAACUUAAGCAUAUCAAUAAGCGGAGGA
rnacentral:misc_RNA from 1 species